rnacentral:rRNA from 1 species
UACGUAGGGGGCAAGCGUUGUCCGGAUUUAUUGGGCGUAAAGAGCGUGUAGGCGGCCAUGUAGGUCCGUUGUGAAAACUCGAGGCUCAACCUCGAGACGCCGAUGGAAACCAUGUGGCUAGAGUCCGGAAGAGGAGAGUGGAAUUCCUGGUGUAGCGGUGAAAUGCGCAGAUAUCAGGAAGAACACCCGUGGCUAAGGCGGCUCUCUAGUACGGUACUGACGCUGAGACGGCGAAAGCGUGGGGAGCGAACAGG